UACGGAGGUGGCAAGCGUUUGCUCGGAAUCACUGGGCGUAAAGGGCGCGUAGGCGGGGAGGUAAGUCGGGUGUGAAAUCCCUCGGCCCAACCGAGGAACUGCGCCCGAGACUGCUUCUCUUUGAGUCCCGGAGAGGAAGAUGGAAUUCCCGGUGUAGCGGUGAAAUGUGUAGAGAUCGGGAGGAACACCGGUGGCGAAGGCGGUCUUCUGGACGGUGACUGACGCUGAGGCGCGAAAGCGUGGGGGAGCAAACGGG
rnacentral:rRNA from 1 species